rnacentral:lncRNA from 1 species
CAGAAUAGGCUUGGAGGUGCAGCAAGAACACCUUACUGCUGUGCAAAUUCUCCUCUUACCUCUGUAUACCUGAUGUCUCCUGUGCUUGCUUGAAGGAGAGUAGGGACUGAAGGCUAGAAAAAGCCUAUGGAAACAAAGUUAUUUCUGCAGCUACAAUAGGAAGAAAAUUGCUGUGGUCACUUACUGUACAGCAGUGCAGUGGAAGGAGAUUGAUGGAGCUGACAGUGUUCCUUCCUGCACUCAAACAGCUUCAGCUGAUCUCAUUGAAUACUUCUGGCUGUAUUAAAACAGUUGAGACUGUAGACUAGAAAACCUCCUACAGAGUCUUUAGGAAAGGAAGAUGGGAAAAACAUGCCCGGUAAUGCCUCGCAGAACAUGGAAAUGGUCGAGAGAGAAAAGCUAACCUGAAAACAAAACACCUCCCCACAGGCCCCUCUUUAGUCUCAGUCAUCAGCUACAAAACUCUCAGGUCAUACUGGCAGCAAGCGCAACACCAGCCCAACUUCCGGCUCCCAUUUCCUGUAGGGGAGCAGGGAGCUUUGUGACCGAGCCAGGAAUCUUAAGAUACUGAGUAAGCUGAAUUUGGCACACCAAGUGCUUAAAAAAACCCAGAAUUUUGGGCCUCUUUCAGUGGUAUUUGGAAUAGCUGUUACCUUAACAACUUCUUGUGGUCUGCUAAUGUAUGCAGCGUGCGACUUGAGACU